GCGGCGAGACGGACCGUCCCCCACUCCUCCUUUCUUGCUUCUCGGAACACCGUGAUGUCGCUCGACGGAAUUUCCAGCAGAGAACCGCCAACACCAUCGCAAGCAUUUUUGCCGUGACCACUAGCAGAAUACAACCAUCUCACUAGCAGCCUGUUCUUCGUCAUCUCGUACAGCUGAUACCAAUUCUUGAAGUGCGCAGCUCCACCGUCUGAGAUAUAGAUGAGAUGCGUGAACACAGGUAGAAUUUCUUCCAGGGCCUCAACUAUCCUGUCCAGGGCUAGAAGUGCAUGCGCCGUGUCAUGGGACAUGUCGUCGCUCACCGUUGCGAAGCUCGUUGUCGACACAGGUGUUGUUGCCACGCAAGUGAAUAAAGAAAUUUGAUCUGUUUUCCA